rnacentral:rRNA from 1 species
GAUGAACGCUGGCGGCGUGCCUAAUACAUGCAAGUCGAGCGAACAGACGAGGAGCUUGCUCCUCUGACGUUAGCGGCGGACGGGUGAGUAACACGUGGAUAACCUACCUAUAAGACUGGGAUAACUUCGGGAAACCGGAGCUAAUACCGGAUAAUAUAUUGAACUGCAUGGUUCAAUAGUGAAAGACGGUUUUGCUGUAACUUAUAGAUGGAUCCGCGCCGCAUUAGCUAGUUGGUAAGGUAACGGCUUACCAAGGCAACGAUGCGUAGCCGACCUGAGAGGGUGAUCAGCCACACUGGAACUGAGACACGGUCCAGACUCCUACGGGAGGCAGCAGUAGGGAAUCUUCCGCAAUGGGCGAGAGCCUGACGGAGCAACGCCGCGUGAGUGAUGAAGGUCUUCGGAUCGUAAAACUCUGUUAUUAGGGAAGAACAAGUGUGUAAGUAACUAUGCACGUCUUGACGGUACCUAAUCAGAAAGCCACGGCUAACUACGUG